GCUCAGUGUGUGUCACCUGACUGACUUACCAAGCCGUUGCUUGUUUAGUGUGAUCCUGGUGAAUGAAUGAAUGAAUGAAUGAAUGAAUGAAUGAAUGAAUGAAUGAAUGAAUGAAUCAAUCAAUCUGUUUCCUGGUUUCUGUGUCCUGGCUUUGCUGCUGUUUGCCUGCAUCCUUGCCUGUUUUUUUGACCUUGAACCUGCCUCUUGUUUUGGGAUUGUUUAAAAUGGGACAUUAAACUCUGUUUGCAUCUGCCCCAGCCCUUCCACUGUGACAUUUGGAAUGUUCAACAGGAAGUUAUCGUCCAAAUUUCUUGAUCAUGAGAAGAAGAAAAAGCAACCUCCAUAUCCACUCGAGCUGUGAUUCAUUCCGAAGAGCAAACCCACAUACCAAAUGUUUUUGAAGUUGCCUGAAGUUUGAAUUAAGCUCCAGACUGUUUGUGUGAGCUCAAUUUAUGAGUGAAGUGGGACCACACUAUGGCUUCAUCAAUCUGAAUAAGAGUGCUGCUGAAUCAGAUACACAGAGAAACAAAGAGCUCCAAGUCACUUGUCAUCAUGUCAGCGCGCACAGGAAGCAGCAGCUCACACACCUCCGAUAUAAUAAGAACCAACAGUCUUCUGUAAACAAACCCCUGACAGUCUUCGACUCCAUACCUGCAUACUCCAGAGAGUGUGAGAAUCACAAAGUAUGCCUGGAGAGCAUUCUCGUGGUCUCUCGCUCAUACACUGCUCUUUACUUUCUGGCACAUUGUGGCUUUUGUGAUUGAGCUUGUUUAAACAUUUCACUUCUGCAGUUUGCCUUGUCUAAAAUCCGUAUAUACUGAAAGUCUCGGCAGAUUCACAUUCAAACUUUGAGACUACAUUCAAAGCUGAAGCAUACACUGUCUCAUUUCCUGACACUCUCAAGGUUUCUAUGAAAAACACACCAACUUGGCUACAAAUAAAACAGCGUUCAAAUUGACAUUGUAUGCUGGAGCGGAUUGGUGAAAGGGAAUGUUUUGCAAAUCAUAAAGCAAGUGUGACUGCUAAAGUUUGUGCUACUGUUUGUGCUAAAGGCUAUGUCUAAUUUUCCAUACUACUCUUUGGGAAAGACAAGCUGUGACUGUUUUUCUUUUUAUAUCAGUCUCUUUUUUUUAAUAUAUUUUUCAUUUUUAAAUUCUCAUGCUUAUGUUAAAUCAUAUUAAA